GAUGGGACAGGCGCCCCAGCCAGAGGCAGCCUCCCGGCCUGGCCUCCCUUCCUCCCUCCUUCCAUCCCCGUGCCGCUGACAGCCUCCAGCCCCGGCUUCUUGCUCCCGAUAAGGUAACCAAGGCCCAGAGAGAGUGACUUACCCAAGGUCAUAUAGGUCAUAAGUGGCUGAACUGAGAUUUGAACCCAAGCCCAGUGAUGUCCUUGAUGCUGUGCUACAUUGACUCUCCAUGUACACACAUGCAAUAUAUAUGCCAAGUUGUACUAGCAGGGCCUAUCGAGUUGGAAAGACUUGGAGCAUGGACCCACCAGUAGACCAUGUGUCUGUCAUCCCAGGACCGGCCUUGCUAUGUUCAGAGAGCCUCAUGACCAGGUGGAAUCACUCUCUGCUUUGGUAGAGGACAUGCCGAUACUGACCAAGUCACAGAUACUCGAUGUCUUGUAGUUCAUUUAUUGCUUCUUAAUAAGAAUUUUACUGAUUGUUUUUGCUUUUCAAUAACCCAGACUCUCCCCCACCCCCCGUGUCCCUCCUACCUUCUUCCCUGAGAUCCAUCUCCUUAUGGCAAAGAUUUUUUUUUUAAAUGGAAGAGAAAGAAAUUUGCAAAACUGUUCGACAUAUUGAAAAAACCCAACAUUUAUCUGUACUGCUCUGCACCUGUAGAGUCCCACCUCUUAAUUUUUCUUUGGGACUGAGUUGAUUCCUUACACUUUUUGUGGUGUACUCAUUAUUAAUGAUUAGGAUUUGCGUGUACCAGGGAACUUAGGUCUGGCCUCAGUGGUGUGCGUGCUGGAGAGAACCCUGACCAGGCAGGCCCCAAAUCUGGACUCUGCUCCCCACUCUGCAAUUCACUGUGUGACCCUGGACAAGUCACUUCCCCCGCGUACCCUUAUCGUCUUGCGAUGUGAAAUGAGGGGGAUGGCCUCAGUGAACCCAGAGGUUCUUUCCAGCCUUCACCCUGUAUGAUUAUGUGACUCCUUACAUCUGUAUUUAUAACUGUUAAUGUUAACAGCAGGUUUCAUGUCUGUCAUUAGCCAGAGGGGUUGGCUAACGUUCAAGAGUCAAUGUAAAUGCAAAUGGAAGAAAAUCUUUCUCCUUUCAAGUGUGAGGAGGCGUUGAAUCCAAAGAGUCAAAAAUACAAGCACAAGGGGCAGCUAGAUGGCACAGUGGAUAGAGCACCGGCCCUGGAGUCAGGAGUACCUGAGUUCAAAUCCGGCCUCAGACACUUAACACUUACUAGCUGUGUGACCCUAGGCAAGUCACUUAACCCCAAUUGCCUCACUAAAAAAAAAUACAAGCACAAAGUUGGAGAUGGGCUCACGGCUCAAGCUGGGAGGACUUGAGAGCAGGAAGGAGCCUUCGAAGCUUCUGGUCGUGGGGCUUCUUCACAUUUUUGUGGGUGUCCCGGAUGUCUCCAGCAGAACCCUUCUCAGGAUUCUGUUUUUAAAUUCAGAAACUAAAAGACAAACAGUUACAAAGAAAACCAAUCCCACUGAAAAAAGAUGGAAUGAUUUUCCCAUCCAGGUUCAAGGACCCCCUCG